ACAGAUAAGUAGAAUUUAUCGUAUCUUAUCUAUUUUUAUGCGCUGAAACGAUCUCAGUAAUAAUACAGUAUAUUACAAAUUCAUAUAGAUUUUAUUAUGACCUAUCCUACGUGUUCGGUCUUCGCCGUUUAUAUCUUUUGCUUUUUCUUGUCUAUGAACAGGAAUCAUUAAGAGUUGGAUGGACAGAGCCCUUGAUUAAAAAUAUGUUAAUGUCACACACUACUAUUAGCGUUAUUGUUGUUGUUGUUGUUGUCACUGCCGCCAUGAGCAAUAAUUUCAUGCUAAUGUUAACGAUCGUUAAGUCGUUCGCCAAAAGGAGGCUUGUCCGGUAGCAGGUGCGAUUGCCGUUGACGCUGUCGCUAAUCAGAGAAAAUCGGAUAAUGGAAAGGUUUACACCCGAGAGGAUCGAGACGAAGUUUUUGUUGCCUUCAAGCAUUGGCUAGCACCGACAGUCAUGCAUUUCGGCCGAUCAGAGGCAAGUGGCUCAGUUAGAAGCAUCCUGCGGUGAGACUGCGUCAAGCAUCCAAUAGGAUAUGAGUGAAGCAGGCGAUCAUAUGAAGAGUCACUUCAUUUAGGACGGCAACGACGAACGAUGAUGACGAUGGAGAUGGUUGACUUUCAGCUCAAAUUAAACAAGCGUCUAUCCGAAGAUUCGUAUUUUAAAUUAAUUUCC